AUUGCUCAUCGCCAAGAGAUGGAGCGAUUAUUUCAACGUGCCUCAGCAGCUCUGCUUACCAUGUGUAUGCCGUUUUGUCUUAUCGCGAGAUUGGACAACUUCCCUUGUUAUUUUGCAGCAAAAUAUUUAACAUUUCUUCUGUCCCACUUGAGAUUUUUGAUGUUGAGAACACUCUUCAUUUGAUGUGGUCUAAUCCAAUGCGCAAACAUUGUGAAUCAAAUGGAACAAGAUGUGGAUUCAAGAAUAGUAAUAUUCAGCUAUGAUAUUACAUGUUUUGGGGAUCGUCACAGUGGUUCAUCAAACAAAUACGUAAUUGCAGGAUCAAUGAUGGGCUCACUUCUAGUAGUGAGUACUCUUGCGGCAAUUCUUUAUAUCAGCAACUCUUAUAAAUCACA